rnacentral:rRNA from 1 species
AAACUUUCAACAACGGAUCUCUAGGCUCUUGCAUCGAUGAAGAACGCAGUGAAAUGCGAUAAGUAAUGUGAAUUGCAGAAUCUCGUGAAUCAUCAAAUCUUUGAACGCACAUUGCGCCCUAUGGUAUUCGGUAGGGCAUGCCUGUCUGAGCGUCA